AUUGAACGCUGGCGGCAGGCCUAACACAUGCAAGUCGAACGGUAACAGGAAACAGCUUGCUGUUUCGCUGACGAGUGGCGGACGGGUGAGUAAUGUCUGGGGAACUGCCUGAUGGAGGGGGAUAACUACUGGAAACGGUAGCUAAUACCGCAUAACGUCGCAAGACCAAAGAGGGGGACCUCCGGGCCUCUUGCCAUCAGAUGUGCCCAGAUGGGAUUAGCUAGUAGGUGGGGUAACGGCUCACCUAGGCGACGAUCCCUAGCUGGUCUGAGAGGAUGACCAGCCACACUGGAACUGAGACACGGUCCAGACUCCUACGGGAGGCAGCAGUGGGGAAUAUUGCACAAUGGGCGCAAGCCUGAUGCAGCCAUGCCGCGUGUAUGAAGAAGGCCUUCGGGUUGUAAAGUACUUUCAGCGGGGAGGAAGGGAGUAAAGUUAAUACCUUUGCUCAUUGACGUUACCCGCAGAAGAAGCACCGGCUAACUCCGUGCCAGCAACCGCGGUAAUACGGAGGGUGCAAGCGUUAAUCGGAAUUACUGGGCGUAAAGCGCACGCAGGCGGUUUGUUAAGUCAGAUGUGAAAUCCCCGGGCUCAACCUGGAAACUGCAUCUGAUACUGGCAAGCUUGAGUCUCGUAGAGGGGGGUAGAAUUCCAGGUGUAGCGGUGAAAUGCGUAGAGAUCUGGAGGAAUACCGGUGGCGAAGGCGGCCCCCUGGACGAAGACUGACGCUCAGGUGCGAAAGCGUGGGGAGCAAACAGGAUUAGAUACCCUGGUAGUCCACGCCGUAAACGAUGUCGACUUGGGGGUUGUGCCCUUGAGGCGUGGCUUCCGGAGCUAACGCGUUAAGUCGACCGCCUGGGGAGUACGGCCGCAAGGUUA
rnacentral:rRNA from 1 species